rnacentral:tRNA from 1 species
GGGGCCAUAGCUCAGUUGGAAGAGCGCCUGAUUUGCAAUCAGGAGGUCGUCGGUUCGAUCCCGUCUGGCUCCACCA